CUCAACUGACGUAAAGCUUCCUAUAAAUACUUCAGCGGCGGAAUAGAAGCUCUCUUAUUUCUGGUGGAUCGUGAGAAGAGGACACACAAAAUGGGACUUGCAACGAGAUGGGGAGAAGUCACCCUUCAGAUUCUGCUGCCCCUGUGGGACAUGAGGUGACGGCGCAGACCUCAGACCAGCUCGGUUUUCUCCGUCCUGACCUGCAGAACUGAAGCAACUACACGAUGUGUUAGCUGCAGUGAUUGAUCUCCUCGUUGCAGGCUUCAUGAGUCGUCUCUGGAUCUGAUGGCGUUCAGCAACACUUAAGGUCUCCAUGAUGGCGUGAUGGAUGGAUGGCUGACGACGGACUGACUUGCAGACGGAUUUCUGCUGAAGUGGAAACAUCCCGUCUCUGCAUCUGAUGGCGUUCAGCAACACUGAAGAAAGCUGAAACCGCCCUGGAGCGUGACGUCGCUCUCUGCAGCCGGUAAGUAAACGUCUGUUUUCCUACAUUCACUUGUUGGUCAUAUACCAAGGCUUUCAGGACUCACACUUCCUGACUUGCUGUGGAAUUGACCAGAAAUUAAACCCCAUCCCAGCCGGCUUCUGCAGCUCCGUGCUGUAGGAGACCUGCUGGGAACAAGUUCUGAUUGUUUGAUGUUGUAUUUUUACAGAAUCUGUUUUUCAUAAUCCUUGGAACGUAUUGUUGAGUUUUAGUAUAGAAGGCUGAACCUUUUCCUUGUUUUUGUUUUCAGACGGAGCAGAUUGAUGCAGAACCAUCAGACACCAGCUGAGAGCAUGAACACCAGCACUUCAAUCUGCAAUCACUGAUUUUGGAUUCAUGAAUAAUCUGUGCUCAGAUUUAGAAAACACCUGAUUGUUUGAAUUUAAAUAAAACACUUUGAAAGAU